CAUCAGUCGGCCUCUAGAAGCCAUCGCGCUAAACACUUUUGUUAACUCUCUGAAGAAGUAGUUCUAAUCGGCAGAGAUCAACGUCAUCGGCGUCAUUAUCACCAAAGAUACUGUCUAAGUCGCAUACGCCAGUGAAAAAGUCCGCUUAACCACGCGCUUCGAGAUAAAAGGCGAUAAUUUAAUCUAUAAAUAAUAAUCGGAACGAUGCAGUGCAAUUGGAAGCCAACAACAGGCCACCAUUUAUUGACUUAAAACUUUUGGAUUACAGUAACUGUCCUCUAAUGUUGCGCCACAAGCCAUUAUACGCACAAUUGUCCCAUAUUCCUGAAUAGUGAUCAAUUUUGUGUUGACCGUACUGCCGCAGAUGACUGUUCUGACGUAUACGUUGAACUUAAAGAAGAAAAUCUAUAUGUUAUGACUACAUGUUGAGGCACUUAAUGAGGGCUCAAGUGUCAUGUGCCAAACGGAGCCACAUGGGAAGAGCGUUUCCGAACAAAGUCCAAAACGACAAAAAGUAAAAUGGGACAAUUAUGCGUAUAUCGGUAUUGAAGGUACCAAGCAGCAACGGCGAGAAUUAUGCAUUGUGAAAUUGAGUUUUGGCGCAAACACGACUAAGGACUAGACACUAGAGAGUGGCUUUGAAAGUGAAAGCAAAAAAAAACGAUGCCUAAAGCUAAGAAUACCUACGAAGAAUCUUUUACAAACAAUAGGUCGUGCCAGUUGAGCCGUGGACAUGCGAAAGUGAAUAAACAUUGUGCGUUGACCUCAUCCUAUAUAAUUGAGAUUUCCUGCUUAGAGAACUGUAACCAUCGUCAUACCGGUUCAAAUCAUGCAUCAUCCGGAGCAGAAACAGAACAACGACGAAGUGCUGGUAGUGAAGCAUGUUCCCGGGACGGCCGAGUUGGACACUAGGUACGAUGUGCUGCUGCUGUGCGGAUUCAUUCUGACGGUGAUAGUGGUGGGCAUGAUCUUGCGGUUGGCCUUACAAGUCACCCGAGCACGGUUAAUUACCACCACCCGGUCGAAUCAAGACGAAACCGCCAGCUCGGAUGGCUCAGUGCUCAGUUUAGUGCUCAGAAGAUGAAAUGUAAUUAGCGAUUGAGACCGUUUUAUAACAUACCUAUCUACAUAGAUACGCUCGUCCGCAUGUCGUGAGUGAGUGAUACAUUUUUUAAUACGAUCACGUUCAAUGUGAUACCGGCGUGAUGUGUUCGAAUGUGACACACAUAAUCUUAAGAAUUUCUAAUCGUAAAACGUUCAUCUCAAUGAAAAUAAAAAAUGUGUGAUAAAUUA